rnacentral:pre_miRNA from 1 species
UUUUAUUGAUGAGCAAAGAAAGUAGUUUCUUGAGAUAGAAUCUACCCACAGUGAAAAUACUGUGAA